rnacentral:rRNA from 1 species
GAGAUGUUGGGUUAAGUCCCGCAACGAGCGCAACCCUUGAUCUUAGUUGCCAGCAUUCAGUUGGGCACUCUAAGGUGACUGCCGGUGACAAACCGGAGGAAGGUGGGGAUGACGUCAAAUCAUCAUGCCCCUUAUGACCUGGGCUACACACGUGCUACAAUGGAUGGUACAAAGGGCUGCGAACCCGCGAGGGGGAGCCAAUCCCAUAAAACCAUUCUCAGUUCGGAUUGUAGGCUGCAACUCGCCUACAUGAAGCUGGAAUCGCUAGUAAUCGUGGAUCAGCAUGCCACGAGUGAUACGUUCCCGGG